AUACGGAAGGCAGCAGUAAGGAAUAUUGGUCAAUGGACGCAAGUCUGAACCAGCCAUGCCGCGUGCAGGAUGACAGCCCUACGGGUUGUAAACUGCUUUUGUACGGGAAAAAACCUCCGGUCGUGAAUCGGAGCUGAUGGUACCGUAAGAAUAAGCAUCGGCUAACUCCGUGCCAGCAGCCGCGGUAAUACGGAGGAUGCAAGCGUUAUCCGGAUUCAUUGGGUUUAAAGGGUGCGCAGGCGGAAUGAUAAGUCAGCGGUGAAAUCCUACAGCUCAACUGUAGAACUGCCGUUGAUACUGUUGUUCUUGAGUACACUUGAAGUGGGCGGAAUGUGUCAUGUAGCGGUGAAAUGCUUAGAUAUGACACAGAACACCGAUCGCGAAGGCAGCUCACUAAAGUGAAACUGACGCUCAUGCACGAAAGCGUGGGGAUCAAACAGGAUUAGAUACCCGAGUA
rnacentral:rRNA from 1 species